GGCGUAGGCGGCUUUUCAAGUCGGAUGUGAAAUCUCCCGGCUUAACUGGGAGGUGUCGUUCGAUACUGUUGGGCUUGAGGGCAGCAGAGGGAGGUGGAAUUCCCGGUGUAGUGGUGGAAUGCGUAGAUAUCGGGAGGAACACCAGUGGCGAAGGCGGCCUCCCAGGCUGUUUCUGACGCUGAGGCCCGUAAGCGUGGGGAGCAAACAGGAUUAGAUACCCUGGUAGUCC
rnacentral:rRNA from 1 species